UACGGAGGGGGCUAGCGUUGUUCGGAAUUACUGGGCGUAAAGCGCACGUAGGCGGCUUUGUAAGUUAGAGGUGAAAGCCCGGGGCUCAACUCCGGAAUUGCCUUUAAGACUGCAUCGCUAGAAUUGUGGAGAGGUAAGUGGAAUUCCGAGUGUAGAGGUGAAAUUCGUAGAUAUUCGCAAGAACACCAGUGGCGAAGGCGGCUUACUGGACCGGUUCUGACGCUGAGGCGCGAAAGCGUGGGGAGCGAACAGG
rnacentral:rRNA from 1 species